GGUCGCGACCAUACCACGUUAGAAACACCGGUUCUCGUUUGAUCACCGAAGUUAAGCAACGUCGGGCCGGUUGGGAAUACCGGCUGUUGCGGCUG
rnacentral:rRNA from 1 species